rnacentral:lncRNA from 10 species
GUGCAUGCGUCUUUAUAGUAGAAUAAUUUAUAAUCCUUUGGGUAUAUACCCAGUAGUGGGAUUGCUGGGUCAAAGGGUAUUUUUGGUUCUAGAUCCUUGAGGAAUUUCCACACUGUCUUCCACAAAGAUUGAACUAAUUUACACUCCCACCAACAGUGUAAAAGCAUUCCUAUUUCUCCACAUCCUCUCCAGCAUCUGUUGUUUCCUGACUUUUUAAUGAUCACCAUUCUAACUGGUGUGAGAUGGUAUCUCAUUGUGGUUUUGAUUUGCAUUUCUCUGAUGACCAGUGAUGAUGAGCUUUUUUUCAUGUUUGUUGGCCACAUAAAUGUCUUCUUUUGAGAAGUGUCUGUUCAUAUCCUUUGCUCACUUUUCGAUGGGGUUAUUUGUUUUUUUCUUGUAAAUUUGUUUAAAUUUCUUGUAGAUUCUGGAUAUUAGCCCUUUGUCAGAUGGAUAGAUUGCAAAAAUUUUCUCCCAUUCUCUAGGUUGCCUGUUCACUCUGAUGAUAGUCUCUUUUGCUACGCAGAAGCUCUUUAGUUUAUUUAGAUCUCAUUUGUUAAUUUUGGCCUUUGGGCAAUAUUUUUAAUUGAACUUAACUCCUGAGGAUAAAGUAACAGCAACAACAAAAAUGAUACCCAGAAAAAGAGAAAACAAAAAUUGCUAUUUUUCACGAAAAAAAAUCAAUGGACUUUUAAAAUUACAAAGUCCAGUAUUUUUUAAAGUAAUGAAAACAUAUUAGUCAUGAUAAAAAAUGACAAUAAAGUUCACUAGAAACAAUAAAAAACAACCACAGUAAACUUUCUGCAGCUGAUAGGAGAAUCACUACAAUCUACAUAAAAUGGUAUUUUAAAAAUAAAUUCAUGUUAACUUCUGGGUUUGUCUGUGAACCACAGAGCUGGUAUUGGACUUACCUUACUACUCUGGACAAUUCUAAAACUCAACAAACCUUUUGAGGAACUCUUUUCGUUUAUUAGAAAACAGACAGCAAAGGGCUCUGAAACUUGAAGAAGGGAUGGCUCAAAGGUGAGCUCUGCACAUAUCAUCAACUGGCUUCUGGUUGGCGUCAUUUCUAACCCUUAAAAGUAUAGCUUUAACAGGCAGCAGCAAUCUUGUUGGGCAAAACAAACAGAUCAAAAAGGUGACAAAGUGGUAGCUUUUUUUGUGGGGAACAGCACCCAAUGGGAAGGGCUUGCAGUGGAGAAGAUUAAGAAAUCUGUGUAGUGGAGCUCUUUGGUCUUUGACUGAAUCCUAAACUACACAUUUAAAGAACAGGAUUAUGUAAUCAUUAGCAGGUAACAUCUGAGAAUUAAGCAUAUUUUUGAGGUAAAUGACUGAGAAGAUAUUUGAAUUUCGAGCUUUCAUCAACCAGAAAAAAAUGUAAAAAUAAAAAUCAUAUUCUAUAAAAAAGUUUUGCACAUAAAUUCUGAAAACACAACUGAAACAGAACCACCUCCCCAACCUAAAACUAAGUUAAGACAGGAUCAAAGUAAUCUAACAGUAAUAGAAAUUCCCCCCAGAACAACUCAAUAAUCUAUAAGAGAAGAUAAUGCAAUCCAGUUUUUAUAACAUAUCAUUUGUAACAUCUAUAUGCAAUAAAUUAGCUACUUAUUAUAAAAAGAGGCAAAUAGGACUUCCAAUCAGAAGUAAAAUAAAUGCAGUUAAGCUGAGUAGACUUAUAGAUGGCACAGAUAUUGAUAUUAACUGACAGGGACUUUAAUAUAACAAUUGGAGAGUUUAAAAUAGUUUAUAGGAAAACAGGAAAAAAUGGGUGAAAAAUGGGGACAUUCAAAAAAGGAAAGAUAUCCCUAAAUAAAUGAUUCUAAUGGAAACGUUAAAGAAACAAAUACAAUAUCUUUAUAAACAAUCUUAGUUGGAAAUAGACUGGACAAAGCAAAAUAAAUAUUUAAAUGAAAUAAGAAUGAUACAAAUUGUACAAACUGAAGUACAGAUGGAAACGUAAUAAUAAAAGACUAGAAUAUCUGAGGCCUGUGAGAAUAUAUCGAAAUAGGGAAUCUAGAGAUGAUUGGCAUUCAGGAAGGAGAGGAGAGAAAACAUACAACAGAAAUUUUCCAAAAUUCAUGAAAAAUGUUAACUGACUGAUCCAAGAACUUAAUGAACUCCAAGCAGGAUAGAUACAAAGAAAACUACAACCAAGUGCGAUAUACCCAACCUGAUGAAACUCAAAAAUACAAAAAUGUUAAAUUAGGUCAUGAAAAAUAUAUACGAUGAAUUCUGAGGGAAAAAAAGUAUAAUGGUUGCCCCCUUUGUCAGAUACAAUAGGAACAAGAGAAAAGUAACAUUUUUAAAAUUCUGAAAAAAUAAAUUUCAUAUCCCACAUCUCUCUUAAAAUUGAUAGUGAAACAAGGACAUUUUCCAAGAAAUAUAAACUUAAAAAGAAUUUUGUGCUGAAUACAAAAAAUUUGUAAAAAUACAAAAGAAGUAUCUUUAUUUUGAGGCGAAAUAAUCCCAGAUGGAAGCCUGGAUAAUCCUUCCUUCCAUAGAAAGAAAGACAAAUGGAAAUCAUAAAUAUGUGGAUAAAUACGAAAGAGUAUUUAAAAUUAUUUAAAAUAUUAUUCAUUGUUUAAGUCUAAAUUAAUAUGUGUAUGGUGGGAUUUAUAAUGUAUACACAAUUGCAUAACUGUAUAAAAAGAAAUAAAUGGAAUUAAUCAAUUGUAAAGUGCUCACCUUAUUAGUGAAGUAGAUUUAUUAGCGUUGACUGUAACAAAUUGUAAUCCCUAGCGUAACUUUAAAAAAUAGUGCAAAGAGGUAUAGCUGAAAAAUUCAAUAGAGCAAACAAUGUGGAAUGCAAAAGUAGAGAUGUUUCCUGACUUAGGGUGAUAAACACAUUGUUGAAAAUAUCAUAAGCUGAAAAUGCAACUAAUACAACCCACUGAAUAUCAUAGCUUAGCCUAGCCUACCCUAAAUGUGCUCAGAAUACUUACCUAGUCUACAGUUGGGAGAAAUCACCUAAAACAAAGCCUAUUUUAUAAUAAAGGGUUGAAUAUCUUAUGUAAUUUAUUGACAAGCACGCUGAAAGUGAAAAACAGAAUAACUGUAUCAUUUUUGAAGUAUUAUAAAGUAAAAAAACUGGUAAGUGGAACCAUUGCAUGUCGGUUACCACUUGUAUUUGAUUAUCUGAAAAGAAGGCAGGAAAGGAAGAAAGGAGCAGAUGAGACAAUUAGAACAAAAAUGUUUAAAUAAUUAACAUUUUGUUUAAGUAAAUUUAGCAUCUUUUGAGUAGCAUAUCUAUGAAGGUUCUUAAUGCCAUUUUUAUAUUUUUAAAUCAGAAAGCAAAAUGAAACAAAAAAUCUUAAAAGCGUCAUUUGCAUUGCACUUUGAAGAACAAUGCUCAAUAGGUAACGGGCUUCAAACAUCAGAGAAUCAAUGUCUAAUAUUUAAUUUAGUAUUUCUCGUUUAUGCAUACACCACAGGAAAUACAUUUGUAAGAAUAAGAAGUACAUAAAUUCAUUAUACUUAAAAUCCUGUUGUUAAGAUAGAGACUAGCAUAUCUGGAGGCAUUUGAAAGGUAUUAUAAUUAUUUUUAAUUAGAUGGAUUUUUCUUUUAGUUGAGCCAUCUUCUAUGAUUUCCAAGUUCUAUGGUUUCUUUUUCCAUGAUUUGAUAUCUGUGAUUCACAUACUUAUGAUUAUAAAAUAAAAUGGGUUGAAAUUUUAAAACAUACACAUAUGAUUCAUUAUUGGAUUUCGUGAAUACAUUAUGCUACCUCACAUUUCUGAAUCAAAGCCAUGAAAAUAUAGAAACUAAAUGUACUCCAGUAACAUUUUUCUAAUACAAAACUCAAUUUCCUCCUGAGACGAAUGAAGAGCUUAUGAUGAAGGCUUAUGAAAAAUGCUUCCAAAGUUAUGUAUUAGAUUUUAUUCUUUUCACAACAGUAGAAAGGCUUUCUAGUAAGAAAAUGUGAAGUUAAUAUAUCCUGUUUUCAACACAUCUUGUGUAUCUGCAAUUCUCUGUUCUUUUACAACUUUCUAAACGAGAAGAAAAUUGACUUUCCAGGCAAAAAAAGCAAGUGCACAUUAUACAGAUUGUAAACAUAGCUGCAGAGGGAGCUAACUAAAUUAUUUGUAUCAGUUUCUAAGAAAUAUGUAAAUACACUACAUGUGCCAUCUUCUCAUAAUCCAUUUAGAAAUAUUUGGUCUCUGUUGUUUUUUAUUAUUCUUCCUCAUCUAUAUUCCUCCUUGUCACAUUUAGGCACAGCCUACUGACUGCCCAUUCUUUACAAUUUUAUGUUAGAGAUCUCCAGGCAUAUUUCAAUCCUUAUGAUAAGGCAUCCAUAGGGUCACAUGUAGAAUAUUUGUUGAAUGGUAUGGAGAUUUUAUGACUUGCAAAUUUACUUGACACUACAUUUCUUUUCCCAAAGGAAGAAAUAGCAUACACUGUAUUUUUCUUUUUCUUUUCCAAGUAAAAUUCUUUCUUCCCCAAACAGCAACCUGUCUGGAUCAGACCUUAACCACUCACCUUCUUCCAGAACUGUACAGUCUUUUCUCUAUUAAUAGAUUACUGCAGUCUUAUAGAGGGCACAUCUCUGUAUUCCAUAAGUUCCAUGGCUUUGCCCCAGCUGUCAAGCUCUGCUCCACUCUUCCUUUCCUCUUGAUGUAAUAGCAGAUCAAUCAGGGGUUAUGGGUGAUGAUCCAAUGUUUGCUGAGCAUCCGGGGUGAAUUAGGUACUGUAGCAGUUACCAAAAAAAUUACAUUUUAUUCUAGACUUUAAAAAUCUUAGAGGUGAUGGGAAAAAUUAAUUAGAACAAAGUGUGUUAUAAAGUAUACAAUACAAGAUAAUAUAUUAAAAAUGCCACAGGGAAUUUCUUAUUACAGAAGACAAGAACAUUUACUCUUACCUGGUAAAAUUAGGGAGAAGAAUUAUAAUUUAUGUUUUUUGUUGCCAUGGAUUUCUUAUAUCAAGUAGGAAUAGUUAAAAAUAACAUCCAAUCUUUCAAAAUCUUUCUGACUAUAAACUUCUGACCCUGUCUUCAGUUUACACUUUCAUAUUGAGAAGUCACCAGAGAAAGAUGAAGCCCAUGUAUCAUUUGGAAUCUUCAACAGAAAUUCAAUUUUUAGAAUUUACUUGAAUAGGAUUUUGCCAGCUAGGUGUGUUUCUAUUAAAAAAAAAACACAAUGUCUGCAAUAUAGUCAUUACAUAUUCACCACCAAACAUGCAAGUUAGUGUGUGUUAUCAUAGAACAGAAGUCAGAUAGGCAAUUGAAGAGAGCCCUGUCUUUAGCCAUCACUACUAUAAAAAUUGCUGAGGUGCUCUUGCUAAAAAAUGCUUAGUCAUACUUCUACAAUAUUGGUUAUUUAGCAUUUCACUUUUUCCUUGAACCAGUGCCCUACACAAGAGGAAGCAGAAGAUUGUGUGUUGGCUAUGUGUGGAUUUGGGGUUUGUGCUUCUCCUCUUAGAGGCACACACAUUGUUUCACAUAACACCCAUACAAAGACUUGUGAUAUCUGUGAUGAUUUUACUAAAGUGCAUUUGUACCAGUAAGUACUGUAGAGAAGGCAAAUUUUUACCUUUACCUUCUUGGGAUAAAAUAAAGAUCAACAUCAAGAGAAAAGCAUAAACAUUUAUUUGUUAUAAGUUUUAUGUGAUUUGGGAGCUCUAAUAAUGAAAUGAAGACCCAAAAAUGCAGUUGGAAUUGAACCCUUAUGUAUUGAAUUAAACAAAGAGUAGUAAAUUAUGAAAAUGAGAAAGCAUGCAAAGGGACUUGGGUGAGGGUGUUGAGUGAAGAAAUUGUUAGAAAGAUAAGUUAGUGUAACAAGGUUGGUUUGUACAAAUUUCUCUUAACCUCAACUUCCUGUCCUUGAUGAUAAGAAUGAUAUUUUCCUUUUGGUCUUGAAGAAAAGGACAUUUUUUACAAGAGAAUUUCAUCUCCUGAUUUUUAAGAAACAGCAUGAAGUUUAGAGUGAUCUUCUUACACCUGCUGUUUUUCAAGUCCUUACCUCAAAAUAGUCAAUAUGCCAGAGUAACGUAUUUUGGGAUGGCAUAUUCCUUACUCCUUCAGCACAAAUGCAUUCAGGAAAGGUCCACAAAUGUUCAUUGCAAUUGCUAUUUAAAAGCAUUACAUCUGCCAUUGUCCUUCUAGAUUUCUUUAUAUGAAUGCAUAUCUUUUCAUAAGAGCUUAAUUCAAAAGGAAAAAAAUGAAUGGGCUACUAAGGAGAUAUAUAUUUCAGUUAUGUGAAACACCCAUGAGACUUCUGAUUGCUUUUAGAUUAAUUCUAAUUUUAUGCUAAAAUGAGCAUUAGAUUAUCACUCACAAAACCAGAGUCUGAGUCCAAAUUGCAGUAUUAAAUAACCGAGAUUAUGGAAAUAAUCAUGUGAGGUCAUAGGCCAAUGCAAUUCUGAGGUCUAGGAUCCUUUUCCUGAGAUUUCUGUGGCACUCUGUAUCUCUAUUAUGCAUUCCCUUUAGACCUUGGCUAGUUCAAGUGCAUUUCACUUAUUCACAGCUUUCAUAGUUGAAUUUCUCCAAAUAGAUAAAUUAUUUGAAUAUAAUAUUCACAAUAUAUUGUCCCAUAUAUAGUUACAGACAGAUACACUAAUAAUAAUACUACAUGUAGAACAAAUACAUGCCAUUCUAUUAAUGAUGGUUAGAGACCAGAUGAGAAGAAAUCAAAGGCACAUUGUAUAAUCAACAUGGAAACCAUACAUGUAUGACAAGCAAUGUACACAUUUUUAAAGUGAAUUAAAAGAAUGUGAAACAUAGUUGGUGGAUUAUUUAAUAAUUCAUUCUUCAAAUUAUUUUCAAUUGAAGAUGUGUCUUUUCAGUGAUAUAGAAAACUUCUAAUGAAUAAUCAUAAUAAAUGGCUGAAAAGAGUCCGUUUCAAAGUGUUGGGUGAAAAACUAAUGGCAAACUCUUGACCUUUCCAAUCGUGGUGUCAUAAAGAAAGAGGAAAUAAUCGGAAACAGAGUUGUGCUGCACAGCUACACAAUAGCUCUGUUGUGAGAGUGAACUAUCCUUGGCUUGUAAUUGGGCAUGAGUCUCUGGAAAAUGUCAAGACCUUUUAAAUGUCAGAAUUUUUUGGCUCUGGGCCCCUUCUGUCUAUUCUGCAUGGAACAUUGUGACUAGAUUGCAAUAGAUGGAUAGUUGCUACUUUAAAAAUGUCCUGAAUUCUCCCUUAUCAUCAUAGAUAGCAAUCAGUGUAUGAAGAAAGAUUAACAGAUGUUCGAAAGUUCUGGAGAAGAGCUUAGUUGGAAUUUUGGAUUUCUAUUAACCUCAUAGUGGAAGUGUAUUAAGGCCAAAACUCCGCACCAGACUUCAAUACUAGGAAUUUGUUGCAAGUACUAGAAUGUAUGCUGUCGUCUUAUUAUCUAACAAGGUGCAGUGACUCAAGCUUAUAAUCCUAGCACUUUGGGAGGACGAGGUGGGCGGAUCACGAGGUCAG